rnacentral:tRNA from 1 species
GCAUAUGUAGCUUAGUGGUCAAGGCAUUGGCGCGUAAAGCGAAAGGUCCCGGGUUCGAUUCCCGGCGGGGGUG